GAUGAACGCUGGCGGCGUGCUUAACACAUGCAAGUCGAACGGAAAGGCUCCUGCUUGCAGGGGUACUCGAGUGGCGAACGGGUGAGUAACACGUGGGUGAUCUGCCCUGCACUUCGGGAUAAGCCUGGGAAACUUGGUCUAAUACCGGAUAGGACGAUGGUUUGGAUGCCAUUGUGGAAAGUUUUUCGGUGUGGGAUGAGCUCGCGGCCUAUCAGCUUGUUGGUGGGGUAAUGGCCUACCAAGGCGUCGACGGGUAGCCGGCCUGAGAGGGUGUACGGCCACAUUGGGACUGAGAUACGGCCCAGACUCCUACGGGAGGCAGCAGUGGGGAAUAGUGCACAAUGGGCGCAAGCCUGAUGCAGCGACGCCGCGUGGGGGAUGACGGCCUUCGGGUUGUAAACUCCUUUCGCUAGGGACGAAGCGCAAGUGACGGUACCUGGAGAAGAAGCACCGGCUAACUACGUG
rnacentral:rRNA from 1 species